rnacentral:ribozyme from 1 species
GAAGAGCCAGUGGAAAGGCAUGCAGACGAAGAAGAAAGCCAAGG